CUUGAACUUCGGUUUGGGUGGCGGACGGGUGAGUAACGCGUAAAGAACUUGCCUCACAGUUAGGGACAACAUUUGGAAACGAAUGCUAAUACCUGAUAUUAUGAUUUUAGGGCAUCCUAAGAUUAUGAAAGCUAUAUGUGCUGUGAGAGAGCUUUGCGUCCCAUUAGCUAGUUGGAGAGGUGACGGCUCACCAAGGCGAUGAUGGGUAGCCGGCCUGAGAGGGUGAACGGCCACAAGGGGACUGAGACACGGCCCUUACUCCUACGGGAGGCAGCAGUGGGGAAUAUUGGACAAUGGACCAAAAGUCUGAUCCAGCAAUUCUGUGUGCACGAUGACGUUUUUCGGAAUGUAAAGUGCUUUCAGUUGGGAAGAAAAAAAUGACGGUACCAACAGAAGAAGUGACGGCUAAAUACGUGCCAGCAGCCGCGGUAAUACGUAUGUCACAAGCGUUAUCCGGAUUUAUUGGGCGUAAAGCGCGUCUAGGUGGUUAUGUAAGUCUGAUGUGAAAAUGCAGGGCUCAACUCUGUAUUGCGUUGGAAACUGCAUGACUAGAGUACUGGAGAGGUAAGCGGAACUACAAGUGUAGAGGUGAAAUUCGUAGAUAUUUGUAGGAAUGCCGAUGGGGAAGCCAGCUUACUGGACAGAUACUGACGCUAAAGCGCGAAAGCGUGGGUAGCAAACAGGAUUAGAUACCCUGGUAGUCCACGCCGUAAACGAUGAUUACUAGGUGUUGGGGGUCGACCCUCAGCGCCCAAGUUAACGCGAUAAGUAAUC
rnacentral:rRNA from 1 species